CAUCAGCAUCUCAUCCGGCGAACCCAGUUACCCUUGUGUUUAUCGUGGAAUACCGUAUCUUCACUCCGAGGUGUGGCGCGUUGACGAAUGCACAACCUGUUCGUGUGAUAACAGCAGUAUAACAUGCGUAAUUGAAUCUUGUCAACCGGUAUUCUGCGUAGAACCCCUUAAACUGCCAGGAGGAUGCUGCUUUAUCUGUCCGUACGACGUGACCGUGCGUGAAGUUACACCCACCAUACAAGUUAAACACAAGACAACUAUCGGUCACACAACACUGUUUCUUGCGGUAGAAGUCAAAUUUAGAGAUGCCCAAGACACGACAGGAGUGAGCGGCGAAUCUCUCUGGGAGUUGUCUGCCUGGAUUGCUCUUGUAAACAUUUCUCACAGUCACACCAAAAUAGGUUUCACCGAGCAAGUUCUCAAUGCUGGUCAAGCAUCGCAGUAGUACAUCAAAGGAGAUCAAUUCAUCUUUCGGGACGUCGUGUAUCCCUUCGUAGCUCCCGCAUCUUUAAUGUGCGACGAGGCCGAGGUCUGUGUUGAGCUUAGACGUGGAAUAAAUGCAGUAACAACCGAUGGUCGUCCUUUCAAUUUUGACACACCGUUUAUUGGCUGCACUUCACUGUGUACUGGACGUGACUUAUUCCCUUGUCCGGAUAAAGAAGGAAAACAUUUGCACAAAGAUGUCUGGCAACAAGAUCCGUGUACACAAUGUACUUGUAACAACGGAACAGCUGCGUGUUCUACAAAGGAAUGCCCCGGUCCUGGUUGCAACAGGCCUGUGAGACUUGAAGGCGAAUGCUGUCUAUCCUGUCCAUAUCAAUCUCCCGACAAUUCCGAUUUAUGGAUAACACUGGUGAUAUCAACCAGUGUUCUCGUCGGUGUAGUAAUCGUCGCCCUGACCAUUGUUUGCUUGCGUCGUCGGAAGUAAUUCGAAACACCGACUGAUUGUAAUGCCCACCAGAUGAUUUCGACAGAAUAAUUUUGUAAUGAAUUCUUAAACAGAAAACUUCAUGUUUCUGUGUUCUGUAUUUCGUUGAGCAAAAAAUUGUAUUUAAGACCUACUAUCUCGGCAAAAAAGACCAGUUCGUAGAUAGCACAUAAUAAAAAUGACCCCAAAUAUCCACAGAUCUUUUACCAAAAGAGUCAUUCCACUUCGCGCAUCUUAUAAUAAUCACCACCAAAGUCAAAAAUGUACUUCAUAAAUACCUUCUGUUCGCUGUCUUGAAAAAAGGAUUUACAACAGUAUUUCAUAGAAUUUACCGUUGGUGCAUAAAUUAAUGAUUGAUACAAAACUUGCAUCAAUUUGUUGUACAAUGUUGGUACAAAUUACAUUUGUCUCCCAAUGCGCAGAUUAUACCUACCAACUGUCUUAUUGCUCAGGAUUUUUUUUUCUUCAAAGUCGUGAUAUAUUAAUAAGGAGUAAAAGUAAAUCCUGUCAACAUAGUGUAUUUAUUUAAACUCACAUUUGGUCAUUCAAAUCGAUCAGAAGGGCCUGUGGUGGCUUCAGAUAUUACCGGGUACACGUGCCCCUCCCCCUUCCCAAGUAAAGAUAGAAAACAAAUAGAAGAGUCAUGGGCCGAUAACUAUUUUUUUUAUGUGUGCUUGUAAGAGGCUUUGUAGAAUCCAGCCCCCUCCCCCUCUGUGAGAAAAUCUUGACUCCGCCACAGAGGACCAGAACUCCAGAUAUGCCUAUCGAGGUCCUUAUUGGCAAGCUAUUGAUGGUAAACUCGAUGUUUAUCUCUCUUGAAUUCAUGAGAUUUGCUGAGACUUGUUAUUUUGGACAAACCCAUUUAAACUACGAUGGCUGAGACUUCCACGAUAUCAGAUUAAGGUAAUUUCUAUGUCCUCCAUCUUUUUUAAAUGUGUGACAAUAAAACGACGUGUUACGUAAUCAGAACAUGAUUUCUAUGGGUAAGGUAUUAUAAUUGCCCCCUGGCUGGUUUUCCGAAAUUAGCUACGAUCGGGUUGUAAAUCUGAUGUUCCCAAACAUAUUUCAUCACUUAUAUCAUCAUAAUUGGGUUUGAUAUCAAUAUUAACUUUAAUGAUACAUAGGCCUAUCUGUCUUGGGCAUGCGUUGUUUACGUCUGAAGAAUUGUAAAAA
rnacentral:lncRNA from 1 species